UACGUAGGGUGCAAGCGUUGUUCGGAAUUAUUGGGCGUAAAGAGCUCGUAGGCGGUCUGUCGCGUCUGCUGUGAAAUCCCAGGGCUUAACCCCGGGCCUGCAGUGGGUACGGGCAAACUAGAGUGCGGUAGGGGAGAUCGGAAUUCCUGGUGUAGCGGUGAAAUGCGCAGAUAUCAGGAGGAACACCAGUGGCGAAGGCGGAUCUCUGGGCCGUAACUGACGCUGAGGAGCGAAAGCAUGGGUAGCGAACAGG
rnacentral:rRNA from 1 species